rnacentral:rRNA from 1 species
UACAGGGGGUGCAAACGUUGCUCGGAAUCAUUGGGCGUAAAGCGCACGUAGGCGGUCUGUUGCGUCCGCUGUGAAAACCCGGGGCUUAACCCUGGGCUGGCAGUGGAUACGGACAGACUAGAGGUAGGUAGGGGAGAAUGGAAUUCCCGGUGUAGCGGUGAAAUGCGCAGAUAUCGGGAGGAACACCGGUGGCGAAGGCGGUUCUCUGGGCCUUACCUGACGCUGAGGAGCGAAAGCGUGGGGAGCGAACAGG